rnacentral:lncRNA from 1 species
GUGUCUGUUGUGUUCUGUCCCGUUGAGAGUGCCUGGUACGAGGACGACAACGUACAUUUUGCCGCACAGAGAGCACUAUAACCCGUGAUGACCAAGAUAUCCAUAGUAUAAAUUAAUACUAACAAUAAAUAACAAUGUCUUACUAAACCUGUCACGUCAAAAAAAAAUGAAAUACACCUUGGUAUAAUUUUUUGUUUCGUUGCAGGCACAUAAAUAUAGAUAUAAGUAUAUCAUAACUUUAAUUUUCCAUAAUACCCAUGUGUUUCUAUAACUCAAUAUCAACCCUUGUAGCUUUUUUGAUGCAUCAUAUCAACCUCUAUAAUUUUUUUCAAUGUGUCAAGGAUUUGUCUGUCCAUGAGUGAUUGAGAACUCUCUUAAAUUUUUAAAUGGCAAUCCUCGUUAGAAAUUACAUAAAUACAUUUGUAUAGAUUUCAUUAGAUAAUAAUCUGUGAAGUUUUCAGUUUAUGAAAUAUUACUUGUGCCACAAAACUGGUUUGGCAUUUUUAUGAUUUUUCUAUAAUUUUGGCAAAUUUCGCAAUAUCUAGGUUUUUAUAGAAAAAGAGAAAAAUAAAAGAAAAAAAAAAUAAAGGCUUGCAUGGGCUUGGUCCAACCAAUAACAAAGCUGGCCCAACUGCAAGCAUUCAACCCAAGUCGAAAAAGAAGCCCACCAGGAGAGGCUCACUUAGAUCGAGACAUUUUGCACUAGGAACCCUAAUAUAUUUUAAAAACUAUUAAGGCCUUUUCACCUUUUUUGUCUCUAGUAUCUUUACAUCUAAGUUUUCGAUUUAUGAAAUAUUUAGUUGUGCCGUAAAACUGGAUUGAUAUUUUUAUGAUUUUCUAUGAUUUUGGUGAAUUUUGCAAUAUCUCUAUUUUUAUAGAAAAAAGAGGAAAAUGAAAGAAAAGAAAAGAAACACUUGCAUGGGCUUGGUCCGACCCACAAUAAAGUCGGCCCAACUGCAAGGAUUCAACUCAGGUCGAAAAAGAAGCCCAGCAUGAGAGGACCGCUCAGAUAUAGACAUUUUACAUUAGAAACCUGAUAUAUUUCAAAAAGUAUUAAGGCCCUUCCACCUUUUUUCUCUCUAGUAUCUUUACAUCUGGAAUCCCAUAGUUCUUUAUGUUCUCUUAUCUACUCCUAUUAUGUUGGCAACGAGACCCAUAACGAGUCGGGCCAGAUUGGGAGAGCAAGAGGU